AGUUUCUCAAAUCAAAUAGGGCU
rnacentral:snRNA from 1 species